GACGAACGCUGGCGGCGUGCUUAACACAUGCAAGUCGAACGGAAAGGCCCUGCUCUUGUGGGGUGCUCGAUUGGCGAACGGGUGAGUAACACGUGAGUAACCUGCCCUUGUCUUUCGGAUAACUUCAGGAAACUGGGGCUAAUACCGGAUAGGAGCUCCUGCUGCAUGGUGGGGGUUGGAAAGUUUCGGCGGUUGGGGAUGGACUCGCGGCUUAUCAGCUUGUUUGUGGGGUAGUGGCUUACCAAGGGUUUGACGGGUAGCCGGCCUGAGAGGGUGACCGGCCACAUUGGGACUGAGAUACGGACCAGACGGCUACGGGAGGCAGCGGUGGGGAAUAUUGCACAGUGGGCGGAAGCCUGAUGCAGCAACGCCGCGUGCGGGAUGACGGCCUUCGGGUGGUAAACCGCUUUCGCCUGAGACGAAGCGUGAGUGACGGUAAUGGGUAAAGAAGCACCGGCUAACUACGUG
rnacentral:rRNA from 1 species